rnacentral:rRNA from 1 species
GUGGGGAAUAUUGGACAAUGGGCGAAAGCCUGAUCCAGCCAUGCCGCGUGUGUGAAGAAGGUCUUCGGAUUGUAAAGCACUUUAAGUUGGGAGGAAGGGCAUUAACCUAAUACGUUAGUGUUUUGACGUUACCGACAGAAUAAGCACCGGCUAACUUCGUGCCAGCAGCCGCGGUAAUACGAAGGGUGCAAGCGUUAAUCGGAAUUACUGGGCGUAAAGCGCGCGUAGGUGGUUCGGUAAGUUCGAUGUGAAAGCCCCGGGGUCAACCUGGGAACUACAUCCAAAACUGGCGAACUAGAGUACGGUAGAGGGUGGUGGAAUUUCCUGUGUAGCGGUGAAAUGCGUAGAUAUAGGAAGGAACACCAGUGGCGAAGGCGACCACCUAGACUGAUACUGACACUGAGGUGCGAAAGCGUGGGGAGCAAACAGGAUUAGAAACCCGAGUAGUCC